rnacentral:rRNA from 1 species
CACUCCUACGGGAGGCAGCAGUGUGGAAUAUUGGACAAUGGGCGCAAGCCUGAUCCAGCCAUGCCGCGUGAGUGAUGAAGGCCCUAGGGUUGUAAAGCUCUUUCACCGGUGAAGAUAAUGACGGUAACCGGAGAAGAAGCCCCGGCUAACUUCGUGCCAGCAGCCGCGGUAAUACGAAGGGGGCUAGCGUUGUUCGGAUUUACUGGGCGUAAAGCGCACGUAGGCGGACUAUUAAGUCAGGGGUGAAAUCCCGGGGCUCAACCCCGGAACUGCCUUUGAUACUGGUAGUCUUGAGUUCGAGAGAGGUGAGUGGAAUUCCGAGUGUAGAGGUGAAAUUCGUAGAUAUUCGGAGGAACACCAGUGGCGAAGGCGGCUCACUGGCUCGAUACUGACGCUGAGGUGCGAAAGCGUGGGGAGCAAACAGGAUUAGAUACCCCAGUAGUCCCAUGA